CAGCCGCCGCGGGAAAACGAAGGGGGCUAGCGUUGCUCGGAAUUACUGGGCGUAAAGGGCGCGUAGGCGGACAGUUCAGUCGGGGGUGAAAGCCCGGGGCUCAACCUCGGAAUUGCCUUCGAUACUGGCUGUCUUGAGUAUGAGAGAGGUGUGUGGAACUCCGAGUGUAGAGGUGAAAUUCGUAGAUAUUCGGAAGAACACCAGUGGCGAAGGCGACACACUGGCUCAUUACUGACGCUGAGGCGCGAAAGCGUGGGGAGCAAACAGGAUUAGAUACCCCCGUAGUCCCUGUCUCUUAUAU
rnacentral:rRNA from 1 species